rnacentral:lncRNA from 1 species
UAAUUUAAUUUAACCAAUUUUUAAUUUCCUCUGCUAAGUAUGUAAAUGUUUUAUUCUUAAUUAUAUAUGCGCACUAUGUAUUUAUAUUUUAAGAAAUGUUUGUGUUUUAAUUAUGUGCGGGUAUCUCUGUGUGGGUAUGUGAAUGUGAGCACAAUAUUCUGAAGGCCAGGAGAGGGCGUGGCUGAAGGCCAGGAGAGGGUGUGGCCCCUCUGGGGGGCUGGAGUUAUAGGUCUUUUAAGAUGAUAGGUUUAAGUACACUGUAGCUGUCCUCAGAUACUCCAGAAGAGGGCAUCAGAUUUCGUUAUGGAUGGUUGUGAGCCACCAUGUGGUUGCUGGGAUUUGAACUUGGGACCUUCGGAAGAGCAGUCAGUGCUCUUAACCACUGAGCCAUCUCGCCAGCCCCGAGUUAUAGGUCUUUGUGAGCCACUGGAUGCUGGGACUUGAACUCAGGUCCUCUUCAAGAGCAGCCUGUGCUCUGCUCUUAACUGCUAAGCUGUCUCUCCAACCCUUGUAUUUGAAAUUUUUGAAACGGGAUCUCAUGCUGAAGUCCAGGAAGGCCCAGCACUCAAAAUAUAAUUGCAAUGCUGAGAUGAUAGGUGUAAGUCUCCAGCCUGGCUUUCUGUUUUAUUUUUUUAAGAGUAGAGUAGACGCUUUGUGAGGAAUGAUGUCACGUCUCUUCAUUGUACUCGAAUAAUCAUGCACUACUUAAUAACAGCAAUUUCUCGCACUUGCGGCUAGUUUUGCUCUCUUGCGUGUUCCUUUGAGGGGAGCUGUAGUAGUCUCAUCUGUGAUGGAGAGUUUGGGGAAGGGAAUUAUUUUGUGGAUUUUAUUAUUGUUUUUAAGGCUUUCAUUCCAUAACCCAGGCUAGGCUUGAAAUUAUGAUCUUUCUGCUUCAGCUCCGUAAGAGUCCGGGGAUUACUGGUUUGAGUGGCCACACCUGCCUAAGAAUGACAUCUUAGCUGUGGUUUUCCUGUGGGCUAACAAUGACUUUAUAUAUCCAGCCAUCCAUUCAUCCUUAAAUAGUCACCAUUGGUGACCCAGCACACCCCUUGGGGCUGUUCUGCUAGCUUUAACAGAAAACAAGAUAAAUAAAACAUUUUAUUCCACCCCACAGCUUUCGUCGUCUGGUUACCCUGGCAACAGACUUGGAGUCUGCACUGUCAGAUAACACACAGUCCACACUUGCAACCUGGACAGGACCUGGAGAUAGCUCAGCGAAAGGUGUUGCCUGAGUGUAAGCUACCCAAGAGGUUUCCAUUAUUCCUUGAAACCAGUCAUGUCUCCACAAACAAGGUUUCCACCCCAGAAAGCUGAGGCUCCAGGGCUUAAAUGAAUAGCAUCCCGCAAGGGGUAUGAAAGACAAUCUAAAUGUUAUAAGGAGAAAUGUCACGUUUUCAUUAACUUUUAUGUAUAGAUUUAAUCCCUCUCUUAUUAGGGUUAUGUUUAAAUCAUGCUAGGAUUAUUGGCAGCACAGUGUAAAUGUAUCUGUCUUAUGAAUGAACACACAUGUUGAGUGUCGUGGAGCGCUCAGAGUUUACCAAUCCUGUCCUGCAUCUUUGCUGAGCCACACAUAAUGCCCUGCGACAGGCUUACCGGGCCAGCUUUCCAAAGCCAGUGAGGUCUGUUUGGAUCUGAUGACUGAGAAGAGAAUUGCUCAUGAUUUAUGAUGAUAACAUUUGAGGCAGGUGAGCGGACCCUCCACGACGGCCUGAUACACCUUGUUGAGGGUUGGCUAAUUGCUGCAAGGCAUGAUGGGAAAUACCUCACAAUGGGCGUGUCUUCCUUUUUUUUUUUUUUUUUUUUCUGUAGUCAUAGCACUGGGCCAUAAAAAGACAGCUUAGUGACUGAAUACAGAUAGUCAUCCAGGGACCAAGAUGGCUGGCGAUGCUUGUGGCUUCCGCAACUGGUCCAGGCUCUAUCCAGAAGGUAACUGAAAUCUCGGUGAGGUGGCACAGGCCUGUAUGACUAGCAAGGCAGGAGCAUAAUGAAUUCCAAGCCAACAUGAGCUCUGUUUUCAAACAAACGAUCUGAAGACAAUAACACGCGAAGCUCAGAGAGGAGAAGACAGCUUAAACACGUGGUGGCCAGGUCUGUCUGAGUGUCUCACCUUCAGUUCCAGUCAAAGGUGUUGCAAGUAGCUUUUGCUACCCUGCCCAGGAUCCGGGAAUGGGCAGCGCUACCAGCCCCCACCCAGCUUCCCAGGAAUCCACAGAUAAAAGACACAGACACACAGUUGUUCAAUUUCAAUCUGCCUUUUGAUACAAUUGCUGGGCGAUACUAUCUCCCGCCAGGAAAAGCUUGCCCUCAUCAAUAUUCUUAUCUCCGCACUUCUCCACCUGCCCUCAGAUUUAGUAGCUCAGUUACAUCCUACUUAAUCACUUCCGACUUCCCUGCCUGUGGGAGUGGUCACAUACGGCUGCUCCACCCAAGAUCUCACGGGGCUGGUCACCUUUUCUUCAUCAGAAGCACCAGGAACUCUGGUCUCUCCUUGCCUCUCGGGACCUGGAAGUCCUGCCUAUCUCUC